rnacentral:lncRNA from 1 species
AUCUUAUACACUCAAAUGUGCGUAAUAAAUUAUGCAAAAUCUAGUCAUGUUUGGAAUGACAUUGAUUGUGAUAUAAACUAAUUCAAAAUACUGUAGUGUUUUAGAUGGACUACUAUAAUUUCAAAAGAUCGUGAGAUAUAUGUUUUUUCCUCUUUCUUUUCAAUCUUUAAAUUACACGUGACAAUUUUGUUUAUGUACAUGUUGUAAUUUGUCUGUGUAAUGUUUGAUAACUAUAUUUUUGUGAAAAAAGAGAAGUGAACUGAAAUUGAAUUUUAUGCAUCUAUGAUGAUUUAAUUUAUUCUAGUUGGGCUUUAUAUAGGAGUAGGAAUAUUUUCAUAUUGACUUUGAAAAUUUUAUGAAUUAGUUCAAUAAAGAGAAAAAAGAAUGUCAAAUCUCAUUUAGUACUCAUACAUUUUGUUGUACCAGGAUAUGUGCUGGAUGGGAUGUGUAUUAUGUGCCAUUAUUGUGGUGCGGGCUUGCAAAUUCUGCGAAUAAGAAACAGGAUAAUGAGAGUAGUCUGAAGUUCAAUGUUAAAGUUUCCAUUAGGCCUUGAAAAUCCUGAGGAAAGAAGCUAGAGUGAGCAAAGGCCAAGUGGUGUAGUAAUAGUCCAGUUAGGAAAUUC